rnacentral:lncRNA from 1 species
UCACCGCCGAGGGAAGCCAAGAGCUGGCUGCGAGGGGAAACCCGCGGCUCGGCCCCAGUGUGGGCAACCGCGGGGGCCGGGGAGGAGCUCAAAAACCCCACAGCAACUCGGCUCCCUCGCAGGCAGUUAUUGAGGCUGGAGGGCGAUGGCUCAGACCGCUCUGCUCUCAGAGGCUGCCGAGUGAGAAAACCAAAGCAAGGGCCUGGCAGAGCACAAAUCGAGCCGCUACUUCAAGCAAUUACCCACAGCAAAACGCGCCCCACGCCUGGACGGUGCAGAAGCCACAAGGAGCACUCAAGCCUCACUUAAGCCCCCGAGAUAGAAGGGGAAUUUUCUGGCUCGGGGCAUAAAGGCGAGUGUCACGGUUCGGAGGAACCUCUCGGCAGGACGAGCUCCUUGUCCGUCCCCGCCACAGAGAUGCCUUUAAUCUCAGCUUAAAAUAUUCUGACGUGGCGGGGGAAAAAAGGAAAAAAAAAAAAAGGUCCAUCUAUAUCCUGCCCCGCAGCAGCAUGUAACAAGGGGGCUGUGUGUUUGUGUCCAGCAUAAAAGACUCCGGCCGUGUAUUUAUCUUGGAUUGUGAACGUGAAAAUUAGGCACAGCGAAAACAUCGCCUCUCGCGCUCUCCGCCCCCUUCCCCGAUUGCUCGCACAAACCCAAAUUGUAGCCGCCGGGAUGUUUUUGGCUUCUGCUUUGAAGGGAGAAAUCAAUCAGGUGGCAGCAGCCAGCGGAGGCUCAGGCGUCCCCCUGUUUAUUUUCUUUACGUAUGGUCCCAGGAUAAGUUAAAUAUUUCCCCCAAGGUCAGUGCUAACUGGUGCGGCUGCUCAGGAGCUCACGUUCCCCUCCCGCAGGCUCCCCCCCCCAA